UUCACUUUGUGGCAAGCAAGUAAGCAAUAUAAUUAAGACUUUUGUGGGGUUUUGUUUUUUGUUUUAGUUUUUGUGCAUUGUUUGUAUGUACGACUAUGAAAAAACACAAGAAAACUUCUGUAACUUACCACAUUCGCUGUAGAUAGGACAGAAGAGGAUGAAACCACAUAAUUUGAUGAUCCAAUAUGGAGCAAGUUCUAAGUCUGCAGCACAUGGCCAGAGACAUGAAAGUCACAGAAGAACUGAGGAUUAGAGAUAAGUAACUGAAUGAUGUCCUUUAAGGUUACAUAUUGACUUGACAAGUUGGGUAAAUAGGCUAGAAACUUGAUUAUGCUCAUGCUGCACAGAUACUGACAGAGCAUAAUGAUCAACUUGUUUGUAAGUACAAAAAGAGUUUAUAAGUAUUGGGAGCAAGAAUGAGUUGCUAGGAAGCCAUAGCAUUCUAAAACAGACCCCAUGUGAUAGUCCUGCUAACAAGAACCGACUCCAGUGUUUUUCUCAUUGUGGAAGUGUUGUGGUCCUUUCUGUUUCACUGUUGAGGAAUGCAUUCAUUUUCUAUUUCCUUUCUACCAAAUUUAAAAUGUAAGAUAGCUGCAUUAUGUUGUAGAAGUACCAGAGAAUUGGGCCCUUGCUUAUUGUUCUACAGAUAAGCAUAAAUUUACUGGUUUAGGGGAAAAAAUAGAAUGAAGAAGAGGAUCUCUAUUUUCAUAGGAACUUUUAGCCUCAUGUUCUCAAGAGACACAGAAGGCAGAGAUUACAAGGAAUGUGUUUUCAGAAGACAAGUCAUAAUUUUCUCUCUCCAUACUUUGGAGAGUCAGGGAAGACUCCCUAAAGAGGGAUUUGAGUCAACACUAUAAACCAUCUAGUCUUUAACAUUUUUCUUAACUGCCCCAUUUAGCUAUUAGGUGACUCUAAGGAUCACAUUCAUUUCACUCCUCCCCUAUGGAAGAGAAACAUUGCUGUACGUGAACUGUGCCCAAGUGCAUGUGUAUCUUAAUACUAGAAAAUAGGAUACAAGAUCAAAAGCUUGGAUUUUUGUCUGGUGAGUCCUCCUAAGAUUUUAAACCCUUGGGAGGCCAAGGCAGGUGGAUCACCUGAGGUCUGGAGUUCGAGACCAACCUGACCAACAUGGAGAAACCCCAUCUCUACUAAAAAUACAAAAAAAAAAAAAAAUUAGCCGGGCACGGUGGCACAUGCCUGUAAUCCCAGCUACUUGGGAGGCUGAGGUAGGAGAAUCACUUGAACCCCAGAGGCGGAGGUUGCAGUGAGCAGAGAUCGCACCAUUGCACUCCAGCCUGGGCAACAAGAGCGAGACUCUGUCACAAAAAAAAAAAAAAAAAAAAAGAAUUUAUACCCUUGGGAUUGGGCAUAAUUUUAGAUUACUUCUUCACAGGAAUUUCUACUCUGUUUUUGUGAAUAUGGUAGGGAACUGGGUGGGAACCGGUCCUUAGAAGGCAUAGGGAAUGAAGAAGAAGUCAGGGGUGCUUUUAUCCUUGGAAGACCCUUUCCAUCCAGUUUAGAAUUGGCUGACAUUUGGUGAGAUCUAGAAAGUCUAGAAGAACAAAGUUAAAUAAGCCUUUCCGCCCUUGUAGUGUAAGGUUUUGUUGCUUUGAAGGACGGAAAGAAGGAGUCUAUUAGUUCCACAUGGGCCAGCUCAGUUCAGCCAGAGUGGUUGUGUGGAAGGGCGCCCUGUAUAGCAUGUGGGAGCAGAAGCCUUACAGCAAUAUGGAACGUGAUUUGCAUAGAACAUCUCCUCCGCAUAUAUUAUCACACAAUCUGGCACUCAGUGAGAUAAAUAGAAAAGGAUUCAUGUAUCCUGGAUGGUGUCAAAUAUCACCUAAUAUGAAAUAAACUCAUUUAAGCAGUUUUGUUACUAACCAUCAUUUCAACCUGCUUAGUUGUUUGAUGCUGUGGUUAAAGCAAUUGGGAAAAAAAAAAAAAAAAAAAAAAACAGAACAAAAAAAACAAAACAAAACAAAAAAAACAACCUAGGGAAGAGAAGCGAGGUUCCGGCCUUUAUCAUCAGCUCCAGUCUAAGUGACAGGAGAAAAUAGAGAGCCUGGUUUUCUAUAAUCUGACACAGAACCCACUGCACUCCCAUUCCCCACCAUGCUACAUGUCAGGGCAGUUUACUACAAAUCUGCCACUUAUAACAAGAUCACUUCCACUUUCACAACUUUUACUUUAUUGUUCUUCUCACCAGGAAGGACUCCAAUUUUCUUGUUGUCUAGAAAAUUUCUACUUAUUCUUCAAGGCCUGGCCCAAGUACCACCUCUUCAAUCAAGUAUUUUCUGUCCUUUCCCCCAACAGCUUGUGAACACUUAAUGCUUUCUGAGGAUUUUUUAACUUUUUAAAUGGUGGUAUCUUGUUUCAAUUUAAUUUCAGGCUCAUCAAAGACCAUAAAUACAUCUAACCAUUUCUUGUAUACAUUAGAGCACACAUUAUCGGUGAAUUGCUUGACUUAAACUGAAAUAGAUGGUGUAAUAUCAACACACCCAACAGUGACUGUACACAGUGCUCUUGUCUGGAGAUGGGAUAUUUUUUCAUUUGUCAGUCCUAGUAAAAUAUUUAAUAAAUAUUAUCCAUUUUGCUCUUUGCUAUAUAUAUUUGGUAUUUAUUUGACAUAAAUGGGUUUCCUUUCACCUAUCUGUGCCCUUUGGCAGUGUCCCCCGCCACACACUGACUCCAGACUGGCCUGACAACUUUCUUUGGUUAGUAAGAGUUGUAAUGUGCUGCAUGUUGGUCUUUAUCUGUCUCUUGCUGCUCUUUGGAACCUGGGGACUAACAUGUGCAGAAUCAAAGACAAGCCUCCUGAAAGGUGAGAGACCACGUGGAGCAUAGAUAAGCCAACCCAGCUAAGCUUAACCAUUCUGCCAACUGACAAGGGAGGAAGGCCAUCAUAGACCAUUCAUGCUAGCUCAGCUGAUUCAUUCCAAGGGUUACCCCAGCCUACGUGCAGGCUUGUUUUAAGCCACCAAUUCGUGCAUAAUUUCUAAGUUAGCAAAAGCACACUGAUUUCUCAAAUCACAGCAUGCAGAAUGAGAAUCAAUUCUUUUGAAUUAUCUCUGCCCGGAAGUUUUGUGGCUGCCUAGAGGUCUUUAUGGCAACAAUGAUAAAUGACUAUAUUAGUCAAAGGUGGAAGAGUUAGUGGUACGCUCAGGCUCUGAGUCGAAAGGCAUAGGGAAAAAGUCUUCUCCUGUGAAAUAUGUCUUCCAGCCUAAAAUUCUUCCAUACAAAUAACUUGGAAGAUGGACAGUAUUGCAUAUUUAGUCCCACAAAAGAUUCUGGUAAGUUUAUUUAGUCGAGCAUCUAAUUAUUGAGAUAAUGGGAUAUGGGAGAGUUUUUUUUAGUUUCUGUAAGAUUUGGAUAAUAUUGAGAUUAUCUAUUCAUUGAUUAGAAAGUAGGAGCUUCUCUAAACUACUCUGAAUCUUUUAUUUACUGAUGCUGACAGAUUGAUUUUUCAUAACUGAGUCAAAACUUUAAUAGGAAAUUUUUUACUUUAAAUUUUCAAAUUCAUAAUAUUUUCUCUAUGUGUUUAAAGAAAUUUAUAUAUUAGCUGGUUUUUAAAUACCAGUAUUAUUUAUUUCUGCAUAUUAUAUUCAUUGUUUAGUUUUACUAGAAGUCCAUCUAUUUCAAUAGCUUUUUAUAAAAAACACUUAUUUUACAUUGUUGACUCUAUUUAUUUAUUUAUUUAGACAGGGACUUGCUCUGUCUCCCAGCCUGGAGUGCUAGUCUUGAACUCCUGGGCUCAAGUGAUCCUCCAACCUCAGGCUCUCAAAGUGUUUGAAUUACAGGCAUGAGCCACCAUGCCUGGCCAAAUUGUUGACAUUUCUUCUUCUUCAUUUUUUUUUUUGCAUUUUUAUGAUGCUUUAUUUAUUAUUUUGUUUUAAUUUCUUCUAUCAUUCUUUUUUAUAAAAACAAUAAAUAAAUAUAUGUAUAAUUUGAAGUCACAGAAUUAUAGGCUUUUGAUCUGGGAAAGUUUAAAUCCACAGAAACAAGCACAGAGAUCGGCC
rnacentral:lncRNA from 10 species